UGGGGAAUCUUGCGCAAUGGGCGAAAGCCUGACGCAGCCAUGCCGCGUGAAUGAUGAAGGUCUUAGGAUUGUAAAAUUCUUUCACCGGGGACGAUAAUGACGGUACCCGGAGAAGAAGCCCCGGCUAACUUCGUGCCAGCAGCCGCGGUAAUACGAAGGGGGCUAGCGUUGCUCGGAAUUACUGGGCGUAAAGGGCGCGUAGGCGGACAUUUAAGUCAGGGGUGAAAUCCCAGAGCUCAACUCUGGAACUGCCUUUGAUACUGGGUGUCUUGAGUGUGAGAGAGGUAUGUGGAACUCCGAGUGUAGAGGUGAAAUUCGUAGAUAUUCGGAAGAACACCAGUGGCGAAGGCGACAUACUGGCUCAUUACUGACGCUGAGGCGCGAAAGCGUGGGGAGCAAACAGG
rnacentral:rRNA from 1 species